UCCGAGUUGACCCCGGCAGUCUCCUAUGAGUCCCCGACAUUACUCGCUGGCAACAUAGGACGAGGGUUGCGCUCGUUGCGGGACUUAACCCAACAUCUCACGACACGAGCUGACGACAGCCAUGCAGCACCUGUGCACGCUGGUAUUGCUACCUCGUUACUCUUUCAAGCUCCUACUACGUGCAUGUCAAGGCCAGGUAAGGUUCUUCGCGUUGCAUCGAAUUAAGCCACAUACUCCACCGCUUGUGCAGGCCCCCGUCAAUUUCUUUGAGUUUUAAUCUUGCGACCGUACUUCCCAGGCGGCUUAUUUAUCGCGUUGGCUACGCCACAAAAGGGGUCGAUUCCUUUUACAGCAAAUAAGCACCGUUUACGGCUAGGACUAC
rnacentral:misc_RNA from 1 species